GGCAGGCAAUGAGCUAGAAUGCAGGAAGGUGGGGGGGGCCAUCCCCUUGGCAAACUAGGAACCGGGCUGAGACGGGUGGGAACCCAGGCAAGGUCAUGCAGCCGCCAGGGAGCAGGACUGGGAUGGGACUUAACCCACAGUUUGAAACCUAUGCUUUCCAUACAGCCAUGCACCUGGGCUGGGGCCGAGGCCCAGGGGCCCGCUAUGUUCUGGGCAUCUGGGGACUGACCUCUGUUGUCAUGUUUCUGCCUGCAGGUGACUCAAGAGCUGGAGGAGCCAGUGGGGUGGCAGGAGGGGCAGCAGCCAGAGGCAAGCGGGAAACCGGAAACUGUGGGCCUGAGAGCCGGGGCCCAGUGCCUGGCCUGCAUCUGCCAGCUGUGGGACCCCGGACAAACUACGGAGGGUGUCUGAGCCUGUUUCUUCAUCUGUGAAACGGCUGCGGAGAUACAGAACCGCCCUCCUCCGCGAUCCACACCCACGCCCGAGAACCACCGCUGACCGGGAAACACCACUCUCUAGAAGACCACCCCGGCUCCGUGACUGGGACACUCCGUGGCCCUUUCCGCUAGUCUGAGAGGGUCGAAGGCGGACCGGCACGUUCGCACAUGCAAACAGGAGCAUCCCCCAGCCCCCACGACAUUUUCUGGGAUUCACCAUCGGUUGAAGUUGACUUUCAAAGCUUUGGGUUCGGGAGCCCUCCCUGCUGCUGAAAAGGAGAAUCCUCAAGAACUGAGAGGCUGGGGUACAGUUCAUGAGUGUCAACAUCUAUGGGACGGAUGAGGAACAGCCACAGCCUUUCAUGCUUGUGAGGGUUAAUUUUCGGAGCAGGCAAAAGGAUGCCAGCUAUGGAAAUGGACAACUUUAACUGAUGGUUUUUAGCUGGGUGGCAAACGGAACACGGUGACGUGGCCAGCCAUCGGCCCUUCUCUGCCCAUGUGAGGGUCUCGUGAGACCUUCCUCCCAGACCGUUAUCAGACCCUACAUUGCAGCCAGUCGACUGAUUAAUUAAAUAACACAAGUUAUAAAACUUUAAAAA